CGCCGGGGCAGGUGUUGCCGCCGGGUGGCCGCCCCCCGCGGCGAGGCGGGCCGCGCUGCGCAGUGCCGUGCUGGCUCCCCGCCCGCUCUCCCCCUCCUCCUCGCCCCCGGGCGGCCAUGUUGUCCCCCGGCGCGGUAAAGGCGUGACGAAGCAGAAAGGUUGCGUCUGUGCCCUUCCUUUGACGCAGAUGAGGAGUGCUGCAUGCAGCAGGGCCGCGUGUCAGCAGGAGAAGCUGCCGAGCCCUCCCCGCCCAUCACACCCUGCCAGGGCCUGUCUGUAAGAUUGAUGCUUUGGAGGAUCUCUGAGCAUUUCUGAAGAACUGAAGAAUUAUUCCUCACAGCAGCCCACAAGAUGGUGUUUGGUUCAGAAGGUGCUGUGAGGCCUCCAGAUGCUCUGAAAGGCCCCUCUGGUUCAUGCUGAAGCUGGAGGAAGGCAGGCUUUAACGGAGAGGAGAUCCAGGGAGGGGGCACCUGGAGCAAUGGCAGGGCUCUGAGGCACUAUUCACUGGUCUUACCCUGCUUACUUCUGCUGUGCUGAUGAAGCAAAAAUAAACUUCCUGUACUUAGACAGAUUUUAAACAUUUUUUCUACAAGACAGAAACCAGAUGGAAUAUUUUCACAGCUGACACCAAAAUUCGCAGUUUUCGUGACUUCAGUGAUAUUAUGAUUUAUACAGGGAUUGUGUGUGUCGGCAGCCUCGAGCAGACAGCCUCUUGCCAUCCAAGCUUUUAAAUGUUAUUUGGAUUGAUAGGUCAAAAGAUUCUACGAGCUGAGCGCAAUGUGAAGUAUCACUGGAUUUAAAUGGUAACUGUGGGCUUUUCUGGUUCUGUAUCUUGACUCUAAGGUGUAACAAUAAAAUAUGUUAAAAGGGCCUCACUCCAGGAGGGAUAGCAAGCCCUUGAAAUUAAUCAUUUAUAGAAGUAAACAAAGAAUUGUCAUGUCGAGUCACGAGCACAAAGCAGGCUAUUGACUUGAAGCCUUCAUUGGCUCUCGUAAAGCAAGAGGUGAGUGGCAGCAGGCAUAGUGCUGGGACUGCCAGUCUCACAGGCAGUGUUUUCAGAUGGCCCUGAAGACAAAGAGGAGUUGAAGGGAGUGAGCAGUCAAGUAGAAGCUGCAGGCAGCCCAGGUAGAGGGCAGGGUGGGGAGCAGGUCCACAGAGCUGGGCACAGGCAGGGGGUUCUCUCUGCUUCCUGUUUCUUUGCCCUCUAUUUGUGCCUGAAUCAGCUGCUGUUCACUGCAUGUGAGCUUCUUCCCACCUUUGUGGGAAUUCCUGGUUUCCUGGGAAACUUGUGCUGGCCUGUGCCUGAAGAAAACUUCAGAGACGCACUGAUUAUUUUUUUAUAUUUAAUGGCGUUUUUUCAAUGCCUAAGAGUGGCAGCUCGUUAACCUUGGUGGCUGCCUUUCUGUUUUCAGAGAUGUCUCCAGAUUGUAUGUUUUCUCCUUAGAGUUUUAGGUGACGCGUUUCUGGCUAUGUGAGACUUACAGAUCAGUACUGCACCUUGGUUGGUGCUCAUCACACCAGUGGUGUUGGAGUUAAUCCUUGUGUGCUCUGUGUAUUUGUAGGAUCCCGUUCUGUGAAGUCCACACCUGAUAGUGCACCAGAGCUGGUUUGCACAGGGCUCCAGAGCUUGCCUCGUCUUUAAUCAGGUGUUUGCUUCGGAAGGGAUGUGUUGUUGCUAGGGGAUGUAAGUUCUCUCAGGCUCGGAGAUAGAUGGAGGUAUAUAUAAUUUCAGGUGCUUAUAAUAUGUGCACCUAAUCUUUAUAGAAGGAUUUAUUGUGUAAAUCAAUGACAAAAUAAAUGGCAGCGGCUCCUACGCAGCUAGGGCAAGGAAAGGCUGCAUCUAAUGUGCUUUUCCUGCUCAGCCACUUACUUAGUAAGGCUACUGGCACACCAAAGUAUCCUACAGUCUUUUGCCAUGCAUGCUUCAGACUCAAAUCCAGCGCAAUGGUCAAAGAAAUGGAGCAUAAAGCCACCCUGAUCAUUCAUGGUAACAUAGUAGCUGAUGAUGUUUGGACCUGAGACUAUUUUUUUCCCCAUAGAAAUAUGGUAGGAAUACAGCAGAGACAGGGUGAGAAGAUGGUUAAUAACCUGUAGCAAACCCUACUAAGUUGUGGGCUAAAUAAAUGUCGAUUCCAGUGAUAUCUGCUGAAAAUCAGCAUACGACAAAACAUUUGGUGAUAACAUACGGAAGGAGGUGUGGGAGACAGUUAGAGGAAGCCUUUCACUUUUCUGUACAUGUUUAUAAUCUGGUGUCCUCAACAUAAUAGAGACUACAUAUUGAAACUGUCUGUAUGGAGCCUGGCUUCCAAAAAAUAAAAAGCGCUCCUGUGAGUAGAAACACUGCCAUUUUUUAUGUGUUAUUUCCUUGUUUGGACUUCCCACCCCCGAGCCAGCUUCAGUGAACACAGACACUGCAUUAUAGGGGCCAUGCUAGUGAACAGUUGUUUAGAAGGCUGUACCACAAAUCUGUAAUGUAAGUAAUGUUCUCCUAUACACUGUCGCUUAAAUCCAGGAAACCACAUUUUAAAUAUGAUGCUGAUCUCUAUCUAGGGGAGUUUAAACAAAAGCAGCCACUCUUGCAAGAUACUUCCUUUGGCUAAGCUGGAAAUCCUAGGCAUGUAGGAGCUAAUCUAGCAAAUUGCUUAAAUGUAUGCUUAAACCCGUGUGUAUUUGCUUUGAAGUCAACGGGAUUACUUGUAUGUUUAUAUGCUUCAGUGGUUUGAGGCCUUGAAACAUAGGAGGACAUUUGGCAUCUAGACAAGCAGGGCUAGGAGGAGCAUGAAGAAAUUAUCUCCCUUCUCUGGGAUUGGUUAUACUUAUGGCAUUCCUGGCAGAUUUUUUUUUUCCUCGGCUGUUGUUAAAAACAUCUGGUGAUAGAGACUCCACAGCUUUCCCAGGCUCUAUUCCUGUGCUUCACUAUUGUUACUAUUACAAAUGUUUUUCCCUCAAGUCUGACUUGCUGGAAGUUAAACCCGUUGAUGUUUGGGCUUUCUAGCUUACAGGAACGUUGGGCAUGACAAUCUUCUACACACUUAAGAGUUUUAAUGUUACCUUCUCAAGAACGCUUGUGUAAAGACCCCAGCAUUUCCAAAUCUUUUUUGUAGUCCUCUGGUUCUCUUCCAGGGCUCUCCAAUGAGUCCGUCUCUACCUUGCACUCUUCCCCUUUCUUUCUCCCAUUGAAUUUCAGCCGUUUGUUGGCUCUGCUGUGAUUUGUCAACAUUUUUGCAAACUGGGAGCCUCCUUACUUGCAGCUGCCCUGAGCACCCCGUUUUUGUAGUCCGUAAGCACAGUAAGUAUGCUGUUUCAGGUCUAGAUGAUUGACGAAAAUACCAAACAGAAUCAUAUCCACAGCAAUUUUGUAUCUUCCCCCAGAUGGCUUGCUUUGGCUGUGGGCAAACGGUAACUUUCUCUGCAUGUUCAGCCACUUUGUAUCUGUCUUGUAACUUUUUCAUUCUGGCUGUGUUUCCUUGCUGUGCAUAUGAGAGAGACAGCCCCAAAAGCUUGACUAAAUCAGGAAAUGUGACAUCUCUUGCUUUGCUUCUGUCUACGAGGCCCGCUGCCCUAUGGCAGAAGGAAAUUAAAUUGAUUUGACAGGAUUUAUUCUCUACAAAUCCAUACUAGCAGCUAUUCAUUUCAGUGUUAUCUUCUAGGCGCUUACAAAUAGUUUGAUUACUCGUUCUGGUGUUUUUCUGAGGAUUGAAAACAAAUUGACUGGCUGCUAAGUCUUCAGCUCUGCUUUCCCCCACUUGCCAAGCAAGGUCUUGUUUGCUCCCCUCCAGCCCUUGGGCACCUCAUCUCCACCACCAGCACUCACAGAAGUGACUGUCCAGUGAUUUAGAAAUCACAUGAGUUUUAAGAAUCCGGGGUUGAAAUUCAUUGUGCCCAGUCAAUUCGAAGACCUUUAAUUUAUUUAAGGGCAUUUUGAUCUGCUCUUUUUAGGCCAUUAUCUUCGUGCUGGUACAUAUUCUGUUCCUUGUCUGCACUGGCGUCUGUGUCCUUUAGAAGUUUCUCAGAGGCACUCCCAACUCUCCUUAAUUAUUUAUUUUUGCCUUCUGUGAGGUCUGAGUUCGGGCCAACUGCCUGGGUUUAAUCCUGCUGUCAGCUAUGGUUGUGUUGUGUCUGAAUUGAGGCGUAACUGGAGGCUAGGGAAACAGCCUUAAUUUCUGCUUCUUACUCUGGCAGCACUCUUGCUAAUGUAUGAGUGCCCUGCUUAAAACUGAGAGCUGCAAUAAUGUGGUGUGUUGGGAUUUGGGAUGUCUGCUGACCAAGGCUGGGUUGGAGUUGAUAUAUUGAUUUUUAUUUUUAUUUUUUGUCAACUAACUAGAACAAAUGACUCAACAGUCAGUGGGAGAGGAUUAAGAAUACUCUCCUCUUUGUUAAGGGUAAGAAUUAAUUUUAACAAAUUGUCUAGAGAAUGUAUUUCACAUUGCCAUUUACCCCCUCAAGUUGUUUCUGGGUGCCCUCUCUCUUUUGCUCUGUUGUUGUUGUUGUUCAGGAACUGGAGUGAUAACUUUGUCCCUUCCUGUUUUCCUAGAAAAGUCAAGUAGAGAGCUUCAUUACAAACUUCACUACAUUAUAAUUCUGCUAUCUAUUCUCAUAAUAUCAGUAUCUCCAUAGUCAAAUGAGGAAUGUUUCAUUGAAAUUACUACUGAUCUAGUAGCAAUUGACUGUAUGUAAAUCAAAAGUUUCUUUAAGUUUAAUAGAUUUGAGGGCUUUUAGUUUCUCUUGUACAGAAGAGUAUUCUCACUCCUGUUAUAUUUUUUCAUAAUCUUUUUCUUUCUGAAAGGGCAAACUGCGAAAGUGCAGUAGCCAAAGUUGUCUCACUGUUUUGAGACAUGCAGUGAGAUACUGGGCUAAAAGAAAUGGCAGUAUUCUACAUAAUUUCACAGGAUCUGCUAGGGAAAUAGCCUGAUUUUAUGGGAGCUCUUAUGGAAAAAUUCUGAUUUUAUGUGGAUUCAGGUGAAAAGAUACAUUUUUUGGAUUUCUAAAAUUGGGUGGAUUUCUUGAGUUCCAUGAAAUCUGUGACAGCCAUGGAAAAAAUGCACAGUUCUUGCCAUGGAGUAAAUUUUUAUUGUGGUCUGCAGAACUUUCUUUUCUUUGUACAUUUGUGUCUCUGACACGUGCAUUCUGGACCUCCUCCUCAUCUUGUAUUCUCUUCCUGUGAAUAUUUUAUGCUUCUUGAUGGAUGCAUAGCACUCUGAUCCUCAGAUGAUAGAAAUCCAUGGCUGCCUACAAAGGAGGUUCAGCGUGCAAAUGAGUGUGAUGGGGAAAGGAUGUGAAAAAUAAGAAAUACCAAACACAGGUCUGCAGGUUUUGUGCUUUUAUGCUAAUACCAGCUUAUUUAUGCAUUAUAGGAGGGAAAAUAAUUGGGAAUAAGGAAUGGUAAUGAUUUGUUGUAUUCAGUGUGAGACCUAAGCAGUGCAGCAUCAACAGCAACCUUCUUGCAAUUUGUAAAAUCUUGGCUUUUGCAAAAGGUCCAGAACAAGACCACCUGAGGAGCAUAUAAAGCUUCAGAACAGAGUGAUGGUAUUGCAGCAUCUCAAUUUAUCCUGUAAGCAAUGCCCUCUAUGGCUAGGACGCAAGUGUGACUGUAGCAUGCUUGCCUUGUUCCCUGUCUCAACAGAGGAAGCAGAGCUGAAAUAGAUCUUGCUUUUCAAGGAGAGAAAUUAAGACACAGAGGAGAAAAUCCUCAGACAAGGCUUGAAAAUCAAUGGUGAGAUGAGGUGAAAACUUGUAGGAAGGCUGUGUCAGAAGGGCAUGGGAAAUGACAAAGAAAAAGCGAUGUUAGAUAAGUAGAGGAAUCAGAAAGGGAAGAAUUGUGAAAGAGAUUAAGCCAAAUCUAUGCAGGGUUUUAAAUGAAGAAGCCUGAACAGUAUCUUGAGAUGAUCAGGGAGCCAUCUGAUUAGCUUUGAUUUAAUGAUAUUCUUGAACUGCCUGAGCAGCCAGAACUGAGAAUGUUCCCAGUGGCAGAGCUGAAGUGUCUCGGAGGGAAUCUCCUGCCCCUAGCUGGGAGGAUGUGAGGAAACCUCACGUGGAGCAGAGGCAGAGGGUGUGCAGGUCAUUUCCUUGUACUGGCAAAAGAAGAGGAGAUGAAUAUCAGGGUUCUGAUGGUGUCCUGUGCUGCUGUUGCUUCAGUAAGAAAUAUGAAGCAGAGAGCUGGAACUGAGGCUGGGUGUUGGUGCAGUCAGAGCUGUCUAUAUUUAGCCAAGCCACAAGGAGUUUCUGCAGGGCAAGUGGGACAAAUGGAAAGGGAUGUCUGGUAUAUGAGGGAGCUGUUUGUAUUAGCUGCAGCAGGCACAAGUAUUUGUGCUCCACGUGAUGCUGUGCUUUAUUGCCUGCUACUCAUUCUCUUUACUGAACCGAAUAGGUUCCCAGGAUCUCUAUUCCCUUUUGUAAAUGCUAAAUAGAAUUUUGCCAUGUAUAAUGUUUUCCAGAGAAAACAUCACCUUUUGCUGUAUUAGCUAUAUUAUUCUAAAGGAGUUUAGGUCCUACUGGGACCGAGAACUGCUUUUCCUCUUUCCCCAUCAAACAACCUACAAUCCAGCUCUCCUUUGCAUAAUCCUAUUUCAAAUACGAACAAUAUGAAUCCUCCAGUUUAUGCUAGCGAGGAAAUUUGGGUGGUUAUUUCAUCAUUGCCUGGAGAAGCAGGACAGGGAAGCUGCCAAGCUGUCUCUGUACAGCUUUGCUCUGCUGAAAUCUAGUGUAGAAAGUGUAGUCAUCUUGAUAACAUAUUCAGCUCUUUUUCACCUUUUGCUAGCUCGUGCUAUCGGUGAGUUGUGGCUGUGCAUUUUUCUCUCACAGUAGAUAACAGUCUGCCCACCUCCUCCCCAAAGGGUACAGGUCAGACAAGGUCCUGUUGUCUCUUUCUCUGGCUGCAGCUUCCUGAUGUAUCUGUCUCUACACUGGUGACCCUCAGAUCACGGUAUCGAUUCUUGCAUCACCUUUAGGAUUGCUAAUAAAAAAUGGCUAGUUAAAAUGUUCCUGUAGCAGCAUGUAGUAACCAGCUGGAGGCUUACCUGUUGGCUGUGGUGAAGUUUUCAGCGCAGAAGAGGGGUGCCCAACUUGAGGACGGCAAAACCUGGAAGCAGGUGGUUGUCCGACCAGGUGAGCCUGCAGGUCAGGAGGAGGCAGGAGGCUGGGGAGGCUGCUCUUCCCUGGCCACUGCUCUGGUGCCCUCUCCUUGCCAUGGAGCUGCCCGGUGCUCCAUGGAGCUGUGUGCCUGUAGGGCCACAGCCAGUCCUGCUCCUCCUGCCCCACUGGGCAGGGUGGGGGGCUGUGUCUCUGGGCACUGUGCAUGUUGUGCAGUCCUUGUGGUGCAGGAACCAAAGCUAGCUGUGAUGUUGGGUGGGGUGAGGAGAGGAUGUGCUGCUAGUUCCUCAAGUGUGUGUAGACCAGUUCCAUUCUAAUGUAAAGGCUUUGAAACUUCCCAAUUAUUCAUUUUCCUUAUGUGCAAAGUAUGCUUGCCUUGUGUGCUUUGUCAAGUUAGGAAAGAAGAAAAUGUCUACUUUGUAGUGCAUUUUCUCCAACUGUUCCAUUUUCUGCUGAAGCAAUUUGUGCCAAUAUCUAACUGCUCCGCAGACAAAAUCUGCAUGGCUAAUACGUGCAAACAUAUUCAUGCUGAAGAGUCCUGCGUGCUAAAAGCGUCCUGCUUGCACCACAUUCUGCAACCAUGGCCAUAUAUCUGUGGAUUAGCAUAUUUGAUUAAACAUAUAUACAGAACUGGAGAUCAUAGUAGAAGGGUAUGUACUAUAUGAGCCUUUAAUCUCAGAUGUGCCCCGUGGGUAAGGUAGAUGGAUUAGUAUUGUCACGUGUAAUCAUCUAAUCUUACCUCUCAGCCCAUUGACAGAGCGUCAGGGUUGGAAUCCCCCGAGAUCCAUGGAGAGCUGAGAAGCUCUGGAACACCUGAUUUUGCAUAAGCAAAGACACAGAUUGCCUGCCUUGGUUGUUGUCUCCAGCAAGGAAGAUUGAGGUGGCAACCCAGAUGUUUCCCUGUGGGUGACUCCAUUUGAAACAGUUAAAGGCAGUGGGCCUUGGAAUGCCUGAUGCCCUGCUGCCUGCAUGUAUCUGACAUCAUAGUUUCUCUCACUAUAGUAAGCUGGCUAAAUUAAUUUGAUUUUAAAGAAGUGAAGCACUGAGACUGUGCCUGACAUUUUCAGGAUUCCAGGACACCAUGUUCCCAGAUCAAUAUGCUGAUUUAGUAACAUAACUUAUGCUCAGGAAGGCCAUGUGACAUUCCUAGACCCAUCCAUCUUAGUCUAGCUUUUCUGUUAGAGCUGUGCAAAUCCUUUCCAGGAGAGCAAGUGUGAUUUUAGAAGCUUCCCAUUAGAAUGAAAUAGUGCAAAAUUACAAACAACUCCCACUAAUACCAGAUUUGAAGAUACUUCUUUCCUCUCAUCUGUAUGAGUCUCAGGUAGGUCCUUAUACAAGACCAACACUAUUUUGCUAACAAUCAGACAGGCACAUGCGUAAGUAAAUGCACAGAUGUAACACCAAGAGCCUACUGCCCAGAACAUGAAUGCUUGCAUACGGAGAUAAAGAGGGUCCACCUUUAAGCAGACACUUCUUCAGAUAAAGAAAUGCACUUGGAAAGGUGAAAGGGCACUGAAAGCACCAAGAGUUUUUGUAUUCAAAAGCCAAGGAGAUAUUUAAGUUCUUUUCAGGCUUAAAUAGAAUCAGAGAAGUGCUACAAAAGUAGCUUGGGUUUACAUGUAUGAAAACCAGCCAUAUAUCUCUUGAUCAUGUUGCUCAUUUAAAAGUUAUCAAAACUGUUUUGUUAUGGGCCAUUUGUGUUUGUGAUGCUCACAAAAACAGCACAUUGAAGUCAAUGGCUGUUGUGUCACUCACAAAGUGAUUUUAGAAUGCAGAUUAUAUGAGCAAACUUUCUGUUCUAUCAUUUACUGGUAAAAGAAGAAAGAAAAAAACAAAUGCUACCCUCAUUUUCUGGGCUAAACUGCUCAAGUUUUCGUUUUUUUAAACAAGACCAUGCCUAGUGGUUAUACCUUCUUAUGCUUACUCAGUACUGGCAGCCGUGCCUCCUAACAAUGCUAGGAAUAUCUGAAGAUAUUUCUUUCAAGGUAGAUAGAAAUUCCAGUUUAAAUAAUGAGACUGCUAGCUUAACUUCCUCUUCCAAACAGAGCAGAAAUUAACAUAAUAAUUAAAUUGAUUGUAGCGAUGAAGCAUCAUGACUUCUAGACCCACGCUGUUUGUUUCUAUGUUAUCUUAGCUUUGAUUCAGUAUAUCUCGGUAGCACAGUGUUUAGCUUAUAAGGAUAUUUGCCUGACUACAACUUUAAGAACAGGUUUAAGAAUACACUGAAAGGAAUCUGCUCCUUGCUAAAGGCCAUUCUUUUUAAAGUGUCUUUCCUACUCUGUGUAGCCAAAGUACUAUUGAAGAUGUUUGUAGUGGAAAUGCUGAGUCACAGCCUGAACCAGUGAUUGAGCACCUGGAGGGAAGGUGGAGCCAACCCAGGGGAGCUCAGGUGCAUGCAAUGAACCUGAGUAACCAGCAGGGUUGGAGCCAGGAUUCACUGCUUCCCAGACUUCAUUUAAGGGUUGGCAGUGCAGGUGAAGGUAUUUCUCUGGAGCUCCCUGUAUACCUGAAGUCUUCUAAAGGUAGGAAUAUAUGUAUUUUUUUUUAUUUCUGCGCCUGCUGCUGUUGUGUUUGAGCAAGUUGUUAUUGCUGCAGCUACAGCAAUGCAGCUCUGCUGUCAUUGUUGUGCUUUCUGUCGUGUUACUGGGGUUUGGAAGAUGGUUUAGUUUGUGGUUUUGUGUAUCAGUCUGCCAGGCAGCACUUUAACCAUGUGCUUUCAAGGUUAGAGCCUUGGUUUCAGCCUUGUGCUUACUAAGUGGUAUGGAAAUGUUAUGCACGGUACGUGGAAAUGCUGUAAUCUGUUGCUUUCUAAAAGCCACCCGAAGUACUGUACCAUAAUCAAAUAGUACUUCUUAAUGACACUGUAUGCCCCAGCUGUGUCCUGAGACAUACUGACACAAAAAAGUCAUCCAGGGAUGCAAAGCCAAUUGGGAAACCUUGCUAAAUGGAGGACUCAUGUGCUUUUUCUGUGCUUAACUGAUGGCUUUAUUUAACAAAACACUUGCUAACAGUGAGGCUGUGAAUGCACAUUUGGUCUGGACCUUGUUGUUCACAACUAGGUCAUUGCUGUGGCUGUGUUCUGGACUGCAGUCAGUCUGUGGUUAGCUCGUUUCCGUGAAGGGAGCAAAUAGGCCUGUUCCACCUACUUCUUUAGGUAUGGUGGAGGACAUCAUUUUUCACCAUACUUAUACCAUUAAAAUAUCCCUGUUCUCUUCUGUUGUCUCUUAAAAGUCUCCCAGAGGACACUUCUCCUGCAGGCUUCCACUUUCUGGGAGGUUCCAGAUAAUGGCUUCUCUCCCAUUAGUCCUGAAAUUACCACCUGAGCAGGCUUCUAGUGCCUGCACCACUCCCCUUUGUUAAUGUACUUCUAGCUCCUGGCUGUGCUACCUUCCUGGCACCCCACUGGAUAUCCAGCAGUAAAUAUUAGCAUAAGGACUUAGGCACCUUUCUGCUCUGGCUUGUCCUUCUCCUGCCAGUUUCAGGAGCUGCUCUUCCAUGCUUUAGGGUAACUUGUCCAUUGUUGCUCAGCUAUUGAAAGCAGUUAGUCUCAAUUUCUUUCUCUUUUCUUUUGAUUUGCAAGAGGUAGGAAAACUUUAGUGUCUCUUUUUGCUUUCAUUCUGAGACUAACGAGGUGUUUGGUAGGCACCUGUGUGCAAGAGGCAGAUGGUAUGGUCUCUUGCAUGGGUAUUGCCUCAGUAGCUGUUACUGCUGCUUAUGAAUAAAUGGAGUUUGUGGUAACUUUGUGAGCUGUGCUUCCCCUUGUUCUCAGUGUAUUAUUGCUUUGGACUUAUAAGUGUAUCUUGUAGCUUUGGAAACAAUGGAUCAGCUUCAACUCUGGCAGUAUGUCCAGUAACUAUAUAUAACAUAAUUGUUACACCUUAAUUUGCAUAUAUCUUAUGUUUUGCUUCAUCUGAUGUGUUUUAUAAUGCUUUUCUGCACUGUUCACUUCAGAUGAUUUAUUUUGUAAGACAAUUUAACCAAUACUGUGAUUCUUGGAGUGUUGUGUUCUAUAACAUAAAUAGAAGGUAGCGUAUUCAUGCCUUCUGAAGUCGGUGAAAGUCUGUCUGUUGACUUUCAUGGGGCUCUGGAUUAGAUCUUUAAUGAACAUCUCCUGAUAUCAUUAUAGGAGCAAAUAUUGGAACAGCAUCAUGAAAACUUCAGAUUUAGUCGAUACGGAGGAUUUAUUACAUUUUUUUAUAGAACAUAAAGUAGUUUGGAAAUUGCUUCUUGAAUGACUUCACCUGCUGCUCUGUUCAUGCUUGUCCCACAGUGACCUGAGCCACCCAGACGAAUAUUUUUGUCAGACGGGAGCUGAGACCAAGAUUAGGAGAAAGGAAGGGACCACACAGUGUAAAAUCCAGCUGCAGGCUUUGAGGCAAGCAGAAAACAAAUUGCAGACUCAAAAUUCAAAGUCUGAGUGCACCCUAAGAGGUGUGGGAUUCCUGUCAGCCUCAAAUGUUUUUCCCCUUAGUGUGGGGUGUUGAGUUGCAGAGAACCUGAGAGUUUGGAAAUGUAAACACGCAAUUCAUAAUGCAGAAGCCGUGGAAUUAAUGAAUUUCACACUGCCCCCACCUUAGACUAAUUAGUACAAAUUAAAUGCUGCACUUGCCAGGCAGAGCAGUUUGUGCAUCAUGUAUUGUGUUACGAAUUAUUUUAGAUCGAUUUUCACAAUGCAAAAAUAGUGUGAAAAUAUCUUUUUCAAUUAGUGGUAGUUUUACAGCCAUUAAAAGAUUUCUUUAAUAGGCUUAGACUCCCAUGGCCUGCACAGCUGCAUGAGGUCUGGUUUGCAUUUAAAGGUGGGAGAAAAUAUAGUGGGAAGAGAGACAUUUAGCUGACUGGAUUUGCUUAAUUAACCCCCACCCCAUGCGAAAAUGCCAAAGCAGGCCGAUGAAUUAUCUGUCCCUUCAUCACAGGCCAAUCGCUUAAUUGCAAAUUAUCCCUAAUAAUUACGCAGUCAAAUAACUGCUGGAUUUAUAUUUAAUGAAUUAGGGAGCCCUUAACAAGGAUUUAAAUGGACCCACCAGGAUUACUCAAAAUUGACAACUAUCAAAGGGCUGGAAGCUGCUGCUUGUGCUUAUGUGGAGGUAGAACCUGGCUCUGUUUCCUGUUGGGUGAUGUUUUUCCAUUUCUAUUGUCUCAGUGGGACAAACUGAAAAUGGGAGAUGACUGAAAAUGAGAAAGGGAAUCAGAACCAGGGAGGUUAGAAAGGCAGGGCAGAAUAUAGGACCAAGUAAGGAAACCCCAGCCUGUACUAAGUGAGAUGGAGCCCUGCCAGACAGUGCAGGAAGGGUGCACUUGCCUUUGGUGGCAUUCCUGGUGGGGACAACAGAGUCUGCCCACUGCAGAGGUGUGUGUGGAUGCGAUUACUGCUGAUGCAAACAUGGGGCAAGGGUUUUGGCACUUGUUUUUCAGUUUUGACAGCAAAGGAAAACAGAAAGGAGUCGUCUUACCUCCCUCCCUUAUUUAUUUCCCUUCCUCCGCUCUCUCCUCAUAAAUAGCUUUCUCUCUUCAAAUUCCUGUAAAUUACUCGGUGUGUGGGAUGUGUUCCAUGGCGAUGGCCACUUGUCUUGUUUCCAGGCUGACAUGUACCUUGCUGGAAUACAAAACCAAUUGAGAAUAGGAAUUUAAACUUAAAGCUGCGUUUGCUUGUAGUCGGAAGGGUAAGAUUCAGUAAUUGAAUAAGCAAUAGAAAACUUGAAGAGUGAAGGAGGGAAUAAGCUGAAUGUAAAGGAGCGUGCCUGGGAGAGUUAGAUGAUGCGUGCUUUCCCUAACAUGGUCCAAUCAGAUUAAGGUGACUGAACUGUUUUUGAAAUGGAAACUAAUAUCUGUCUAUUCCUUAUCUUUCUUGUAUUGAUGUCCUGAGGUCCAGUUGGGAAAUCGGGAUCCCUCUGUGCCUACAACAGUAAAAACACUAGUUCUGUCUCUCCCCACCACCACUGUGCAGCCUCUCAGCAAAAGUGCUCUCUGAGCUCUGAUUUCCUUUUUCAUUUCUAUGUUGCUUGCUCUUUGUAGGUCAUGUGUAAGCAAUUUUUUUCUGCUGCUUUUUUCUAGGAGGGUAAGUAAUUAACUUGGAGGAGAGCGGGAAGCUCUGGUUUCAGGUUGCUUUGAAAGGCCUUUUAUUGAGAUUUCUGGAGUGUGCCUGUUCCUCGAAGAUUUCUCACUGUGGAUUCAUGUAUAAGAAGGUGAUAUUCUGGACUUCAAAGUCUCAACUCAUAUCUUUCUUGAUU